UACGAAGGGGGCUAGCGUUGUUCGGAUUUACUGGGCGUAAAGCGCACGUAGGCGGAUCGAUCAGUCAGGGGUGAAAUCCCAGAGCUCAACUCUGGAACUGCCUUUGAUACUGUCGAUCUGGAGUAUGGAAGAGGUGAGUGGAAUUCCGAGUGUAGAGGUGAAAUUCGUAGAUAUUCGGAGGAACACCAGUGGCGAAGGCGGCUCACUGGUCCAUUACUGACGCUGAGGUGCGAAAGCCAGGGGAGUAAACGGG
rnacentral:rRNA from 1 species